rnacentral:lncRNA from 1 species
UUCAACGUUCUUCCACUUCGUUGUCAAUCCUUCAUCUUCUUUUUUGUCUUCAAGAAGGGAUUCUAAUUUCUCUUGCAAUUCUCCAUCAGCAGCUUGAAGAAAUAGAUCAACUUUGUUCGGCUCCAAUGUUAAUUUUUCUACCUUCGAUAAUUGAGAGUACUGCCUCUCAAAUUCCCUUAGUAGCUCUGUUGCUUGCAAAUUCUUAUUGGGCC